CUACUUGUAGUGUAGUGGCAUCUCCCUUGGGUUUCAUCCAAGUGGUCAUGGGUUCAAUCCCACCUAGUUUC